UUUUCCAACCUUAAUGAUUCUAUGGCUUUGUGUUUCUGGAUCCUUUCUUUUUUUGUUAGUAUUUGUGUACGGAAAUGCACGGAACUGUGCAUCCAUCCAUAGUGAAAGGGGUUCUUCCCUUCCCCCACCAUCUGCCCUAGAUUAAGUCCACAAACGUCUCUGUAAAUACAGCCAGCCUCAGACUCACUUCCUGAGGGAGCCAUUUCCUGACUCGUAGGGCAAUCGAGCAAGUGCUCAUUCAUACCAUGAAUCAUAAAGGUAACCUCCGUUCAAAGCGCUGUGCCAUGCUUUGGCUUCCUACAAAAAACGGGUUUUGUUGUUGAACACAGCCUGCUGACAUCAGCUGUGCGCCUACCCUUGGAACUGUUCCUGUAGGGUUUUUUGAUCUAUCUUAAAAGAAUAGUUUCCAACUGCCUGGACAAAAGGUGGCUGCUGAAGGCAGGGAGGCUGUCCAGGAGCAGUAUGUUUGCUGUCAUGCAUCAUGCAUGACGCAUUUUUAGAGUGGCAUUAGCCCCUGCGGGACCUGUCCUUGUGUUCUGAGGUGUGCUAAAGGAGGGCUAAUGCAGGAGCAUCCUCUGCUAGCCCCUGCCUCCCCCUGAGCCCUGCAGACCUGUGGGAGGAACCAAGCCCUCAUGUCUGUUGGUCUCUGGCUGAGCACAGGAGUGCAGCCCUGGUGCCUGCAGCAGGUUGCAGCCCCUGGCCGCGGAGCGGGCUGUGCUUAGAGCACAGAGUUGUCUCAGCAGGCUGUGGGCCAGCAGGCCUGCAACAGCACCUUGGUUUUCCUUGUGAGCCCAGGGCCCAGCUCAGCAGCCUGCCCUGAGGAUGCCCAACUCUUCCCCUGGGACUCUCUUGCAGGACAGCCAGUGACAUAUCCAGGCUGGGCUCUUGGUUUUUGGUGACAACCUCAUUCUGGCCCAUGGUCCCUUUCUGGCUGCCUUCCCAGUGCUGCUCUGGCCUCUGGCCCUGGGAGAGCUGUCACGCCUCGGCCUCCCCUCGGCUUUCUAGGUUCCUCUACAACAGGUCCUUCAGGCUCCUCGUGUGCAGUUACUGCUAUGGCUUUUAUCACUGAUUGCAUGACUACAUUUCCUUAAAAUGCAGGCAAUUAUUACCGUGAGAGCCAGAGAACAGUAAGUUCACUCUUUUAUGUUCAUUUAUUUGGAACACGGAGCUUUUCAGCUGGGUUAAUUUGUCACUGUGGCGGCCCUGUGACCUCACUGACCUGUCAUGGGGCUGGGCUCUGUGCCAGCUCUGUACCUCCGGCUGCAUGGCUGGGCUCUCCAGAGCCCCUGCUGCAUUGCCCUGUGCCAAGGCAGCUGCCUGAGGCUGUGCCGUGUGUGUGUGUGUGUGUGUGUGUGUGUGUGUGUGUGUGUGUGUGUGUGUCCGUCCGUCCCUACUGUCAUUUAAGGUCUUUCCUCACCAGUAAGGGUGGGUUCCUGGUUCCAUCUCUUCUCCUCCCUUAGUCACAAUGUCACAGGAUGGCUGAGGUUGGCGGGGACCUCUGAGGGACCUGCUCCAACCCCUGCCCAAGCAGGGGCACCCAGACCAGGAGCUGGGGUCACAUUCAGACAGCUUUUGGAGAUCUCCAAGGAGGAGACUUCAGCUCUCUAGCAGGGACCUGCCUGGUGCUGCUCAGACCUGAAUAACUCCUGCUUGCAAAUCCACCGAUAUGUGACUGAAGAGAUCGAUGGAAGGAAGUUGGUCUGGGGAAAAAAGUGGAAUUCAGCUGUCUAAACUGAUUGCACCAAGAUGGAGUCUAUAAACCAGAACUGAGAAGUUUUUCUGUUUCUUCGUGUCCAUUUGUUGUUGUUGCUGUGCCAGUCAUUUGGAACAAGGCUAAUGCAAAGGUUCAUGGAGAUCACAAAGACCCAGGGUGGAGUCCAUCAUAAGCAAAGCUAGAGGACGGCAGUUCAAAGGUGCCUUUGUAGUGGCAGUGGGAUGCCAAGUGACAGCAACCAGCCUUGAAAAUCCUCCCCCUGCACUUUAACCCAUGUGUUUUGAAAACACCUCAGCACCUUGGGAGCACUGCUGCUGGUAGGCAGCCAGCCACCUGCUUCUGCCCACAGUGGGUUGGGGACAUCCUGUCCCCCUGCUUGGCACUGGUGAGGUCUCACCUGCAAUACUUUGUCCAGGUGUGGGAUUGCCAGUACAGGAGAGAUAUAGACCUGUUGGAGUGUGUCCAGAGGAGAAAUGAUCCAAGGGA